rnacentral:tRNA from 1 species
GGAUCUUUAGCUCAAUUGGUAGAGCAACGGACUUUUAAUCCGAAGGUUGUGGGUUCGAUUCCCACAGGAUCCACCA